rnacentral:rRNA from 1 species
AAUGCCUAGGAAUCUGCCUAGUGGUGGGGGAUAACGUUCGGAAACGGACGCUAAUACCGCAUACGUCCUACGGGAGAAAGCGGGGGAUCUUCGGACCUCGCGCCAUUAGAUGAGCCUAGGUCGGAUUAGCUAGUUGGUGAGGUAAUGGCUCACCAAGGCGACGAUCCGUAACUGGUCUGAGAGGAUGAUCAGUCACACUGGAACUGAGACACGGUCCAGACUCCUACGGGAGGCAGCAGUGGGGAAUAUUGGACAAUGGGCGAAAGCCUGAUCCAGCCAUGCCGCGUGUGUGAAGAAGGUCUUCGGAUUGUAAAGCACUUUAAGUUGGGAGGAAGGGUAGUAACCUAAUACGUUGCUACUUUGACGUUACCGACAGAAUAAGCACCGGCUAACUUCGUGCCAGCAGCCGCGGUAAUACGAAGGGUGCAAGCGUUAAUCGGAAUUACUGGGCGUAAAGCGCGCGUAGGUGGUUCAGCAAGUUGGAUGUGAAAGCCCUGGGCUCAACCUGGGAACUGCAUCCAAAACUACUGAGCUAGAGUACGGUAGAGGGUAGUGGAAUUUCCUGUGUAGCGGUGAAAUGCGUAGAUAUAGGAAGG